GGGAAGCCGUGCACUAGGUCUGUCAUUUGCUUUCCUCUAGGUUUUACGUUAUUUCUUAAAAACAAAAACAAAAAAACCUGCUCAUUUCGUGGCUAAGAGUGGAAACCACCGCGUAUAUGGGGUUUUGGGAGCGUUGUGUGCAGAGCAAACGUUCAUAAGACGUAAGAAACUUCCAGGAUAAAACAGCACCUCGCUAAUUCAGGGCUGCUGUAAGCUGCUGCACUCCUGGUGGCUCGCCACUCCGGGCCCGGGCAGGAGACGGGUGAAGAGACUGGAGGAGGCUAGGAGGACCGUGCGCGCCUGGAGCUGCGGGGCUUCUUACCAGAGGAAAAUGAAGCCCCGAGAACUGAGUAUAGACAGAAACUAUUCUCACUAGGGAGGAUCGAGCGUAAUCCUUUAAGAAGACUUUACUUUCAAAGAGUUUUCAUAAUCGUAUAGAAUUGUUGCUUUCUGCACAGACCGUCAUGGGGCAAAUGUUGGAUCACGAAUUAUAGGCUCGAUGUCCUUUAUUUAUGGCUCGAAACCAAUUAUGACCCUAGCCGUUCUGCAGCGCGAUGAAAGAAGCAAACGAGCCUUUAAGCUCUCCUGGGAUGCUAUUGAGUUAAACGCAAUCAACUAUACAGGGUGUGAAAAAACAAAAGACAAUAAAACCCCUCAAAAUGUCAUCGUGCAGACCAAGCUGCCCAUAAACACACAAAACUCUGCCUGUUUCUGCACACAUGCACCCUGUCCCAAGAGUUGGAAUUAAGGUAUGAACCACCACACCCAACUAUUUUUCUUGAUAUACUUUCUCAUUUUAUAGAGUACAUCCUUGAGUAGAAGAAAACUUAGAAAUGGUUGUAUGGGAGGCUGGAGAGAUGGCUCAGUGGUUGAGAACACUGGCUGCUCUUCCAAAGGUCCUGAGUUCAAUGCCCAGCAACCACAUGGUGGCUUACAACCAUCUGUAAUG